rnacentral:rRNA from 1 species
UACGAAGGGAGCGAGCGUUGUUCGGAAUCACUGGGCGUAAAGCGUGCGUAGGCGGUUUUGUAAGUCAGAAGUGAAAGCCUGGGGCUCAACCUCAGAAUUGCUUUUGAGAUUGCAAAGCUAGAAUCCUGGAGAGGUUAGUGGAAUUCCGAGUGUAGAGGUGAAAUUCGCAGAUAUUCGGAGGAACACCAAGUGGCGAAGGCGACUAACUGGACAGGCAUUGACGCUGAGGCACGAAAGCGUGGGGAUCAA